rnacentral:rRNA from 1 species
GGGGAAUAUUGCACAAUGGGCGAAAGCCUGAUGCAGCGACGCCGCGUGAGGGAUGAAGGCCUUCGGGUUGUAAACCUCUUUCAGCAGGGAAGAAGCGCAAGUGACGGUACCUGCAGAAGAAGCGCCGGCUAACUACGUGCCAGCAGCCGCGGUAAUACGUAGGGCGCAAGCGUUGUCCGGAAUUAUUGGGCGUAAAGAGCUCGUAGGCGGUUUGUCGCGUCUGGUGUGAAAACUCGAGGCUCAACCUCGAGCUUGUAUCGGGUACGGGCAGACUAGAGUGCGGUAGGGGAGACUGGAAUUCCUGGUGUAGCGGUGGAAUGCGCAGAUAUCAGGAGGAACAUCGAUGGUGAAGGCAGGUCUCUGGGCCGCAACUGACGCUGAGGAGCGAAAGCAUGGGGAGCGAAC